rnacentral:rRNA from 1 species
UACGUAGGGUGCAAGCGUUAUCCGGAAUUAUUGGGCGUAAAGAGCUCGUAGGCGGUUUUGUCGCGUCUGCUGUGAAAACUGGAGGCUCAACCUCCAGCCUGCAGUGGGUACGGGCAAACUAGAGUGCGGUAGGGGGAGAUUGGAAUUCCUGGUGUAGCGGUGGAAUGCGCAGAUAUCAGGAGGAACACCGAUGGCGAAGGCAGAUCUCUGGGCCGUAACUGACGCUGAGGAGCGAAAGCAUGGGGAGCGAACAGG